rnacentral:rRNA from 1 species
AGGCAGCAGUUGGGAAUAUUGGGCAAUGGAGGCAACUCUGACCCAGCCAUGCCGCGUGCAGGAUGAAGGCGCUCAGCGUUGUAAACUGCUUUUAUCUAGGAAGAACGGCUGAUUUGCGAAUCAGUGUGACGGUACUAGAGGAAUAAGCACCGGCUAACUCCGUGCCAGCAGCCGCGGUAAUACGGAGGGUGCAAGCGUUGUCCGGAUUUAUUGGGUUUAAAGGGUGCGUAGGUGGUCCUGUAAGUCUGGUUUGAAAGCUGGUGGCUUAACCAUCAGAUGUGGCUGGAAACUGUGGGACUUGAAUGGGUUGGCGGUAGCUGGAACGGGUCAUGUAGCGGUGAAAUGCAUAGAUAUGACCCAGAACCCCGAUUGCGAAGGCAGGCUACUACGACUUGAUUGACACUGAGGCACGAUAGCAUGGGGAGCCAACAGGAUUAGAUACCCUAGUAGUCC